rnacentral:lncRNA from 1 species
CAGGGCUACACAAAGAAACCCUGUCCCAAAACAACAACCUGGGAAGUCAUAGCAGUGGCUGGUGUGUAGUCUCUAAGAGAGGAGGGUUCCACCAACUCACCGCACAGCGUGGACAUCAGGCUUGGGAAAGCUCCCACUGCAAGAACACCGGCAAGGUCAGGCACAGGAUCUGCUUCAACCAGGGACUAGUGGAGCAUCUCUGGGCACAAUGAGACCAAAGGCUCUGAUGGCCCCAGUGCAGCUGGGCUGGGACCUGCUGUACCUAAACUCGUGAUGCGGGCUGGCACAAGUCCCAGCAGGAGAGGCAGCCAGCAGCAGCAAGCUGACAUGGGCUCU